GUCUAUAAUCUGAUAUUCCUACUGUGGAAGUUUCGUAUCUUAGUGUUUUCUUGAUCCUAUGAAAUCUUGUCAUUUGAGUGUAUAGGGGAUGUGGCAACCUUGUUUGCUUUGUGCAAUAUGUUUCCGUUCAGUCACAGGAAGGAGAUUUUAGAGAGGGGUGCAAUUUAGGCUGAGAAAACCCCGCUGAGACCUUCUGGCACCACGAGGGAUGUCAAAGGUCCUCUACUUGAUAUUGGAGAUAACAGCGAAAAGCCUGAUGAAAGAUAACUGGUUCAUUAGUCAUGAUUGCAAUAUAUAAACCCCAAAUACUUGUUCUGUGGCAAAUUAUGAAGUUCAGCUGAAGUCUGUGAACUGAGCAGUGCUACUCUUAUGAUAAGUUGAUCUGGAUAUUUUUCGCUAA